rnacentral:tRNA from 1 species
UGCGGGGUGGAGCAGAGGCAGCUCGAAAGGCUCAUAACCUUUAGGUCGGGGGUUCGAAUCCCUCUCCCGCUAC